UACCAGCACCCCGAGUGGUCGGGACGUUUAUUGGGCCUAAAGCAUCCGUAGCCGGUUCUACAAGUCUUCCGUUAAAUCCACCUGCUCAACAGAUGGGCUGCGGAAGAUACUAUGGAGCUAGGAGGCGGGAGAGGCAAGCGGUACUCGAUGGGUAGGGGUAAAAUCCGUUGAUCCAUUGAAGACCACCAGUGGCGAAGGCGGCGUGCCAGAACGCGCUCGACGGUGAGGGAUGAAGGCUGGGGGAGCAAACCGG
rnacentral:rRNA from 1 species